UACGGGGGGGGCAAGCGUUGUUCGGAAUUACUGGGCGUAAAGGGCGCGUAGGCGGUGCUCUAAGUCGGAUGUGAAAACUCUGGGCUCAACCCAGAGCCUGCAUCUGAAACUGGAGUGCUAGAGUUCUGGAGGGGGUAGCGGAAUUCCUGGUGUAGCGGUGAAAUGCGUAGAUAUCAGGAGGAACACCGGUGGCGAAGGCGGCUACCUGGACAGAAACUGACACUGAGGCGCGAAAGCUAGGGGAGCAAACGGG
rnacentral:rRNA from 1 species